rnacentral:Y_RNA from 1 species
GGCUGGUAAGUGCAAUGGUGUUUACAACUAACUGAUCACAACCAGUUAUAGAUUUAUUUGUUCCUUCUCUCACUCCUCCUUCACUUGACCAGCCUUAA